UGGGAUCCCAACUGCAGCCCUGCUGCUCAGAGCUGGCUGGCGUCCCAAGCCAACUCCCAACCAACGGCGCCACUGGGCCCGCCCUCAAUGUUAAUGUCUUGAUUUUGAUCAUUGUACUGGGGUUGGGUAAAAGGAUCCUUUGUUUUUAGGAACUACACACUAAGGAAGGAAACUUCCUGAAAACAACCACUAAUCCAAAAGGAUGCUACAAUACGCUUCCCCGGAUCUUUCCCGCAGCGAGGACCUCAGAGCCGAUGCCUCGGCCCUUCGCAGCCCGCACGUCUACCGCGUGAACCGACACGCCUUGCCAACAUUCUCAGUUCAAGUUUUCCUUUCACUGUUGCAAGAUUAGGUUACUUUCAUAAUCUGAAAGAUCAUGAAUGAGAAUUAAAACAAGUUUCAUAUUAAA